rnacentral:rRNA from 1 species
GCACUGAAACACACAUCUGAAGGAGGAUUUAGCAGUAAGCUGGAAAUAGAGCGUCCCGCUGAAACUGGCCCUGAAGCGCGCACACACCGCCCGUCACUCUCCCCAAAAGCCCAAAUCAAUUAACUAAAGCCUAACAAUCAAAAAGGGGAGGCAAGUCGUAACAUGGUAAGUGUACCGGAAGGUGCACUUGGUAAAAUC